rnacentral:lncRNA from 1 species
CAUUUAAUAAAACCUUAUUUUUUAUUUUAACGUGACUGUACUCGAAGUUGAAUGUUAGAGUUGCCUACGUACCCUUCCAAAUAAGAGAUCAAGUCAUAACGUAGUUCAAAAUACAUUUUUUUUCUUGGUAUUUUGUUUUGGUGCCGUUUGCAGUUUCAACUCAUGCAGGCAAGGAGAAUUUGGUGUCGUUUGCAGUUUCAACUCGUGCAGGCAAGGAGCAUGUUGUGUCGCCUUUUAAACUCGUGCAAACCAGGAGUGUUGAUGUUGCCUUUUAUGCUCGUGCAGACCAGGAGCUUCGUG